UCUUUUCUGUUCCAUUGGUGGAAUAUAUUUACACUAUUUCUAAGAACCAGGAAGAAAAAAACCAAUCAGUUGUUUGGGAUUCCUGACAUUAAAAGUGAUUAAGAGCCAAAUCUGCUAAGGAGGUAGGUGCUGUAAAUACCUAAUUUCUUCAAGAUCUUGAGCUUUAUACACUAAACUAACAAUUCCGGCUUCCUUAGAAGACAUAAAUACCAAACUAUUCAUGUAUUUCCUCAUUACUUCAAGAGGGAUAAUGUUUCAGAGUUUAGUUUACAAAAUACAGCUGGAGUUGGCAUUACAGAUGGGAAACACUCGGCACCACAGCUCACAAAGGGCAUUUCUUGGGGUCAUCUCUGAGGGUGUGUUGGUGCGUGGAGGUCAGUGGAUGGGAGAGAUGAAAGGUACUUUGGGUAAGAGCUAGGCAAGGACACCUGAACAGGAGAAAACAUGGAGACUGAGAGAAGAAAUUAAACAGAGAAAAGGAGGGACCAACUGGGAGUAGAUGGGCAGGAUCUCCUAGAACACAUGGCACAGGAUUGCAUCCAGAGGGCUCUGGAAUAUCUCCAGUGAGGGAGACUCCACAGUCUCUCUGGACAAUCUGUUCCGGCACAUGGUCAUCUGCACAGUAAAGAAGUUCUUCUUCAUGUUCAGGUGAAGCUUUCUGGGCAUUAGUUUCUGCCUGUAGCCUCUUUUUUCACUGAAUAAGCACUUGAAAAUAUUCUUUCUCAUUAUACUAUAUUUCUGUCACUGCCCAUUUUAUUUAUUAGGCAUCUGCCUAAUUCAAGUGAAACUGAGAUAAACUAAAGUACAACAUUACUAAAUUCUGCAUUACAUAAGCUGUCUGUGAGCAAUUGCAGUGAACAGACCAUUGAAUAAGUAAAUAAACCUCAGUCAGAAGGUGAAAGAAUAUGUUGUCCUUGGUGAGCUGGUUCUGAAAACAUGAAAGGAAAAGCUUUGAUUGGUAUUUGAGAGUAAUCAGCUUCAAAGAUAAGCCUGGUGUUUUUAUUUACUUAAACAAGGUAUGUCAGCAGCAGGCAGAUUAAGAAAACUUUGAAAAUGCUACAAGUAUUUUAAGUUAUGAGAUCAAAAUAUGGUGUCUAACUUCAAACCCCUCCACCUCCAAAGAGUCUGCUUUAUUUGUAGCUAAUCAUAAACUAAUGAAGGAUGACCUGAGACACCGAAGUUCACUCUACUAUUAACAUUACAUGUGAACUAGCAGUAUAUCUUGGCUGUUGUGAUGUGCUUAUGAAUGUUCUCACCAGAGCUAAAAUCAGUCAUCAAAAAUAAAAAAAAAAAGAAAAAGAAAAAAGCCUUGCAACUAAUGCUAUUUAAUGUUAUUAGGGCCAAAGAGAUAACACAGACUUGGACAACCAAAACAAAAUUCACUUACCUUAAUGCCAGCUGGGAUUUCUCACACCCUGCAUGGCAUUUGGACAGCACAGUGUCUACUUGCCCAGUAAGACAGACCCAGCUGUGGGUGACCACCAGCUCCUGCUUGGGGCUGGUGAACCUGUACCAUGUGUCUCCUCUGGGGCUGGAGGACACUGUGUGCUGGGAGAGCUCCACAAAGAGCUGGACGUUGUUGCUUAUAUCUUAAAAAAAAAAAAAAUGUGGCUCACAGCUAGUAAUUAGUGCUCCUAAAAUGAUACGAAAGUUGAAAGAUGUUAGUGUUGGCUUUGAAAGAAUACAAUUAGUUCAGUGGUUUCCUUCAACCGUUUCUUUUUGAAGUUCUUUGCAGAAAAUGCUAAGCAAUUUCCUUUCUCUUUUAACAUCAAUAACCCUUCUUGGAAGAAGUCUUUGUUUAAAUAGUUCUCUGUUGUCUGCAAACAAAUCAAAGGAAAAUGAAGUUAAUUAACUGACUGAAAGUGUGGCUGAGAGAAGGGUGGGGAUUAGCCAGUGUCGUUUCUCUGGCUGUGAAAUGUUGACUGCAGGUGCUUGAGCGAGGCCUGAGCCUGCCUUGCUGCCAAGGCCGCGGUUCCAGGGUGAGCCUCGGGCCAAGCCCCAGUGACACAGCAGGCCCAAAAUAAACUGUGACCUUCUCCCGUGUAACACGCUCCUUUCCAUUUGGGUUACGUGAAAAGCAGUGCCUGUGGGGUUGUUUCAGCUCUUACUGGAAAGCAUCAGGUGUGGAGGAGGACGACCAAAUCUCACUCUCCCUAAAAAUUGCACCUGUGACUCAGACCACAGGCUAUCUGGAUCUGCCUGCGUGAGCACCUCUCGGGAAGUAAAAACGUAACACUGGAUGCAAAAAUAUCUUUAUUAAACAAUGAGCUCUUCCCACUCCUAUCUUGGAAGAAGCAGCCUUUUAAAAACCAAGUUAGUUUUCUUUGCACAACCAGAUCAAAUGGGGUUUCCUCUGCCUUAACUGUUUAGAGGAAAUCGUAAACAUACUAAUUCCAUUAAAAAGAAAUUAUAUACACACUGGAUUCCAUAUUUUUGCCCUGUGGCACAGAAGCAAUGCUUCAGAGGUGACACAUCAGUGCUAAAAGUCCAUGUGUUCAUGCUGGUCAGGUAGUGGGAUUUUUUGAUGUUUUCAAAGAACGAGAAGAUCUCACCUGGAAUACAGAAGCUGAAGUGGCUUCAUACAUUAUUCCACACCUGUAGGCUGGCUUUCUCUGAGGAUGGUAAAGUUUACUUUCCCAGAAGCGUUGAUAAGGGCACAAUGAGAGUUGUGCCCUUUUUCUCAAAGAUUAGCAGAAAAGCAUUCAAAGGAAGGAUCAGAAAUUCAGGUCACCCUGGUAUCACUGGAGGCAAGACCACAGCUGUACAGCAGUUUUUGUCGCUGCCCCUCUUCCCUGGAUGUCCCUG